rnacentral:lncRNA from 1 species
AAACACGUUAUUAACGCACAAAGAGAAAGAUUAUGAUUAAACACUUUUACGAAAUAAAAUAAAAUAAAAACGAACCCGUGACUCUGUAAUCAGCGUUGAGUUCAUCGUCACGUUCAUCGGACAGCUCAUCUUUCAUUUCACGUCCCUCGGAACUCUCGUUCGGAAAAACAGCUGGAGUCGGCGCCGCCGCCUCGGGAUCAACGUCAAGCACAACCGGCGGCGCAAGGCAAGCGCAGACACCGAAAAGAAGCCAAGCGGAGUCGGAACGAUGAAGCCAUCUAGCAGGACGAGCAUCCCAAGCAACGUUCCACGAUCCUUCACCUUUGAGUUCGUGGUCAUGAUGAAGCAUCACACCGCCGGUUCGGAAUCCGUCGCCGCCGCAAGGAGUAAUCGCGUGCCAUAUCGAAGCAGCUCCACCGCCGGUUGAGAUUUGGAGGUUGUUGCAAGCGGUGGAAUGGUGGCGGCGGGCGGGGAAAGUGAGAGGAGCGACAGUGGCGUGAGAGAGACGAAAGGCGUGGUGGUGGUGGUGGGAAGAGAAGAUCCAAGGACGAGAGCGAGUGGCGCAGAGUACACCAAGCAUGGAUGAGUGGCUAACGUACGCAAGGUGUGUGUGUAUGGGUUUAUUGUUAUCCUACGCACCCAUAACCGGGUUUUAUCAUUAAGAUUGGAGCAUGAGAAUGAAGGAGAAGAGAAGUGCGAUGCUGCAAUAAGAAUGGACCAAUAAAAAAGAACGAAGAGAAAGAGAGAAGCGUGGGUGUUAUAAGGCCUCACCUCACCCUUUUCUUGGAAUGGAACAAAACAACAAUGUCCACUUUUUGCUAUGUGUAUUUUUAUUUUUUAUUUUUGUUUUUUUGGGAAAGAAAAUAUUAUACCAACCUAGGUCCUCUUUGACAAUAAGAAUAUUCCUUUUCAUGUUCAACAAAAAUUUGUAAUUUAGGUUUAGAGAAACAUUACACUUUUC